AGGGUUGUAGUUUAAUCAACAAAACACCGGACUUCGUGCUGGAUAUUAACCGGAAAUGCGGGUCUUAAUCCUGCCAACCCUA
rnacentral:tRNA from 1 species